GAUGAACGCUGGCGGCGUGCCUAAUACAUGCAAGUCGAGCGAACAGACGAGGAGCUUGCUUCUCUGACGUUAGCGGCGGACGGGUGAGUAACACGUGGAUAACCUACCUAUAAGACUGGGAUAACUUCGGGAAACCGGAGCUAAUACCGGAUAAUAUUUUGAACCGCAUGGUUCAAUAGUGAAAGACGGUCUUGCUGUCACUUAUAGAUGGAUCCGCGCUGCAUUAGCUAGUUGGUAAGGUAACGGCUUACCAAGGCAACGAUGCGUAGCCGACCUGAGAGGGUGAUCGGCCACCCUGGAACUGAGACACGGUCCAGACUCCUACGGGAGGCAGCAGUAGGGAAUCUUCCGCAAUGGGCGAAAGCCUGACGGAGCAACGCCGCGUGAGUGAUGAAGGUCUUCGGAUCGUAAAACUCUGUUAUUAGGGAAGAACAUAUGUGUAAGUAACUGUGCACGUCUUGACGGUACCUAAUCAGAAAGCCACGGCUAACUACGUG
rnacentral:rRNA from 1 species